rnacentral:rRNA from 1 species
UACGUAGGCAGCGAGCGUUGUUCGGAGUUACUGGGCGUAAAGGGUGUGUAGGCGGUUGUUUAAGUUUGGUGUGAAAUCUCCCGGCUCAACUGGGAGGGUGCGCCGAAUACUGAAUGACUUGGAGUGCGGGAGAGGAAAGUGGAAUUCCUGGUGUAGCGGUGAAAUGCGCAGAUAUCAGGAGGAACACCAAUGGCGAAGGCAGCACUCUGGGACGUGACUGACGCUGAGACGCGAAAGCGUGGGGAGCAAACAGG